rnacentral:lncRNA from 1 species
GCCUAGUGGCUUGAGUUGUGGAUUCCAAUAGAUUCCGUCACGUGACAAACUCCAAUUAGAAGACGUCUCUACUCUUCCCUCUUUUGUUUGCCUCUCCCAUGUCUUAGGGUCAAUUCAAUUAGAUUCCCCACUCUCGUGGGAUCUUGUCCUCUCAUUCAUGUUUUGAAGAUCCCACCUCUGUCGUCUAUAUUAUGUGAUUUACUGCAAAAUGAUUAAAAGUAUUCUGAAAAUAAA